UGCAGGACAAGAAUGACCCACGCCCCGCCUGACUGGGUUCCUAAGUCACGUGCCCCUAUUACAGGUUUGAAACGUCUGCAGGAAGAUCCCACCAUCAGCCAGGUCCAGGACCCCAAAACAAGAGUGGAGAAAGCUGCUCAGAACCCAGGAAAGACUCAAAGUGACACGGUUGUUUGAGAA